GAUGAACGCUAGCGGCAGGCCUAAUACAUGCAAGUCGAACGGUAAGGCUCAGCUUGCUGAGUACACGAGUGGCGGACGGGUGCGUAACGCGUAUGCAACCUACCUUUCAGUGGGGGAUAGCCUGGAGAAAUCCAGAUUAAUACCGCAUAAUACUUUGGAGCGGCAUCGUUUCAUUGUUAAAGUUUUAAUGCUGAAAGAUGGGCAUGCGUGACAUUAGCUAGUUGGUGAGGUAACUGCUCACCAAGGCGACGAUGUCUAGCUGGUCUGAGAGGAUGAUCAGCCACACUGGGACUGAGACACGGCCCAGACUCCUACGGGAGGCAGCAGUAGGGAAUAUUGGACAAUGGAGGAAACUCUGAUCCAGCCAUGCCGCGUGGAGGAAGACGGCUCUAGUAGUUGUAAACUCCUUUUAGCAGGGGAUAAACCCGAGCUAUAUGCUCGGCUGAAGGUACCUGCAGAAUAAGCACCGGCUAACUCCG
rnacentral:rRNA from 1 species